CCUACGGGGGGCAGCAGUGGGGAAUCUUAGACAAUGGGCGCAAGCCUGAUCUAGCCAUGCCGCGUGAGCGAUGAAGGCCUUAGGGUUGUAAAGCUCUUUCAGCGAGGAAGAUAAUGACUGUACUCGCAGAAGAAGCCCCGGCUAACUCCGUGCCAGCAGCCGCGGUAAUACGGAGGGGGCUAGCGUUGUUCGGAAUUACUGGGCGUAAAGCGCACGUAGGCGGACUGGAAAGUCAGGGGUGAAAUCCCGGGGCUCAACCCCGGAACUGCCUUUGAAACUCCCAGUCUUGAGGUCGAGAGAGGUGAGUGGAAUUCCGAGUGUAGAGGUGAAAUUCGUAGAUAUUCGGAGGAACACCAGUGGCGAAGGCGGCUCACUGGCUCGAUACUGACGCUGAGGUGCGAAAGCGUGGGGAGCAAACAGGAUUAGAUACCCUAGUAGUC
rnacentral:rRNA from 1 species